rnacentral:rRNA from 1 species
CCUACGGGUGGCAGCAGUGAGGAAUAUUGGUCAAUGGGCGGAAGCCUGAACCAGCCAAGUAGCGUGCGGGAUGAAGGCCCUACGGGUUGUAAACUGCUUUUGUACGGGGAUAACACGCCCUACUUGUGGAGCUUUGCAGGUACCGUGUGAAUAAGGGCCGGCUAAUUCCGUGCCAGCAGCCGCGGUAAUACGGAAGGUCCGAGCGUUAUCCGGAUUUAUUGGGGUUAAAGGGAGCGUAGGCGGACGUUCAAGUGUGCUGGAAAAUGGCGCGGCUAAACCGGGCCCCGCAGUGGGAACUGGGCGCCUUGAGUACGCGGAAGGCAGGCGGAAUUCGUGGUGUAGCGGUGAAAUGCGUAGAUAUGACGAAGAACCCCGAUUGCGAAGGCAGCCUGCCGAAGAGCAACUGACGCUGAGGCUCGAAAGCGCGGGUAUCGAACAGGAUUAGAUACCCGAGUAGUC